AAAAAGGUUCCUUUUGGAACCACCCCAUAUGAUCUACUUGAAAGCC
rfam:TPA: Bos taurus chromosome X, whole genome shotgun sequence.